CACGAAUAGGCCCGGGCACAUAUCACUACUUUUUUUUAGGCCUGGGCCUCUUCAUGGGUCAGUGAUAGGCCAAUGGCCACAUUACUUCUUCCUUUUGUCCCAAGGCUCUUCUAAGAUCAGGCAUAGGCCCAGGUCCUCUUCACUUCUUUUAUUAGGCCCAGGCCUCUUUAAAUGUCAGGGAUAGGCCCAGGCCCACAUCAUUUCUUUCUUUAGGCCUGGGCCUCUUCAUAUUUCAGUUAUAGGCCCAGGCACACAUCACUUCAUUCUAUUGACCCAUGCCUCUUCAAGGGCCAGUGAUCUUCAAGGCCUACAUCACUUUUUGCUUUUGACCCAGGCUUCUUAUAAAGUCAGGGAUAGGUCCAGGCACACUUCACUUCUUCAUUUUGGCCUGGGCCUCUUCAAGUGUCUGGGUUAGGCUCAGGCUCACAUCACUUUUUGUUUUUCGGCCUGAGUCUCUUCAAUGGUUAGGAAUAGGCCCAGGACCUCUUCACAUCAUGUAUUGGGCCCAUGCCUCUUUAAAUUUCAGUGAUAGGCCCAGGUCCUAUUCACUUGUUGUAUUGUACCCAGGCCUCUUUAAAUUUCAGGAAUAGGCCCAGGCCCACAUCACUUCUUGAUUUUGGCCUAGGCCCUCAUCCUUUUGGCUUUUGGUCCGGGCCUCUUCAAUGUUCAGUAGUAUUCCUGGGCACAUAUCACUUCUUUCUUUAUGCCCGGGCCUCUUCAAACUUCAGGGAUAGGCCCAGGACCAGAUCUCUCCUUUCAUUGGUGUGGUCCUCUUCAAAGGGCAGGUCUAGACUCAGGUACUUUAACUUCUUGCUUUUGUCCUGGGCCUCUUCAUUUGUCAGGGAUAGGCCCAGGCCCACAUCACAUUUUGCUUUUAGCCUGGUCCUCUUCAAGGGUCAUGGUUAGGCCCAGGCCCACAUCACUUCUUGCUUUUGGCCCAGGCCCUCAUCUUUUUUGCUUUUGGUCUGGGCCUCUUCAUGGGUCGGAGAUAGGCCAAUCCUACAUCACUUCUUCCUUUUGUCCCAAGCUCUUCUUGGGUCAGGCAUGUGCCCAGGCCCUCUUCACGUCUUGUAUUGGUCCCAGGCCUCUUUAAAUUUCAGGGAUAGGCCCAGGCCCACAUUAUUUCUUGCUUUUAGUCUAGGCCCUUAUCUUUUUUUGCAUUUGGUCAGGGCCUCUUUAAUGUUCAGGAAUAGAUCUGGACACACACCACUUCUUUCUUUAGACCUAGGUCUCUUCAAGGGUCAGGGUUAGGCGCAGGCCCACAUCACUUCUUGCUUUUUUUUGGCUCAGGCCCUCAUCUUUUUUACUUUUGGUCCAAGCCUCUUGAAUGUUCAGGAAUAGGCCUGGGGACAUAUAACUACUUUCUUUAGGUUCAGCCCUCUUCAAGGGUCAGGCAUAGGCCCAGGCUCUCUUAAUGUCUUGCAUUUGUCCCAGGCCUCUUUAAAUUUCAGGGAUAGGCCUAGGCCAACAUCACUUCUUGCUUUUGGCCCGGGGCCUCUUCAAGGGUCAGGGAUCAGCAAGGCCUACAUCACUUUUUGCUUUUGGCCGGGCCUCUUCAAGGAUCAGGGAUGGGCCCAGGCCCACUUUACAUUUUGACUUUGGCCCAGGACUCUUCAAGGGUCAGGAAUAUGCCUGGGUCAAAAAACAAAAAGUGAUGUGGGCCUGGGCCUAUCCCUGAAGUUUCCUUUUUCCUUUCCUUCCCUUCCCAUUUUCCCCCUUUCCCCCUUCCCCCUUUCCCUGACACUUGAAGAGGCCCGGGCCUAAAGCAAGAAGUGAUAGGGGCCUGGGCCUAUCCCUGAAGUUUCCUUUUUCCUUUCCUUUCCUUCCCCUUCCCCUCCCCCUUCCCCUUCCCCUCCCCCUUCCCCUUCCCCCUCCCCCUUCCCCCUUUCCCCCUUUCCCCUUUCUCCCUCUCCCAUUUACCCCUUUCUCCUCCCUUCUUUUCCCCUCUCCCCUUUUCCCCUUUCUUCUCUUCUCCCCUUUUCCCUCUUCCCCCUAAAAGAAAGAUGUGCUUUGUUCCAAGGAGGAAGGUGGAAAGGGGGAAAGGGGAAAGGGGAGAAAGGGAAGAAAGGGGAGAAAGGGGUGAGGGGGAAAGG
rnacentral:lncRNA from 1 species